UUUAGAAAAAAAAAAACUAUAAACUCUGUCUCACCUCUCUCCAACUCAUCACCACCACCAUCCACCCCACACCUGCUACUGCCAUCCACCAUUGUUAACCCCCAACAACCUGCACGCAGCAGUCGAAUUAAACCCCUGUUCACCAUCUCCCUAUAUUAAACCCCAAAAAAAACCUGGUGUUUAUGGUUUUCAUGACGUCGGAUCUGAGAACAGACUUCAUCAACGUUCGUCGCAUCUGAAUGGUCUUCAUCAACGAACCUCGGAUCUGAAGAAAUGUCGUUUCCGGUUUAGAAGUAUGGUGUCAGUUUAAAAAAUAUGAUGUGAUCUGAAGAACACUCGGAUCUGAAUGCUCUUCAUCAACCUAAUCGAAGUCGUUUUUCCGGUUCCCGGACUUCAACUUCGCCGGAAUCGACUUAGUGAGUUAUGGCCGGAGAUUAUCGGUGAUGUACCGUUUUUAGUGAGUUAGGGUUAGGGUUUGGUGAUGAGGGUGGAACGAUGUCGUUUGAAUGGGAUUCGGUGUUGACGAUGGUGGGUAAUUCGUAAAAAGCACUUGCAUUGGAAAAGUUGGCUUAACUUGUUCUGUUUAAUCCUAAAAGAGCUAACAGGUUUGUAAGUGCAGUUUUGUAUGGUGACCGGUGGCGGUGAAUGUCAAUAAAAGGUUUAUGAUAAGUGAUGAUGCCCGGCGAAGAGAGGUGGGACGUCGUGAUCAAUAGUCAUAAGGAUGAAAAACAUGACCAGGUAAUUGAUGGUACGUAGAUAGUGCGCCAUGGGUACCGGUAGAUGGAGUAGGUGAUUGUAUUGUCAAUUACUUAAGUAUGAAUUUAAAAACAAAUUAACCACGUGUUAGUUACCAAGGUUAAUGUCACAAGUUAUCUUUUAUUGAA